AGAAGUCAAAAGUGAUUACUUCUAUCCUAAGCAGCUUUUCUUGAAAUCAUGACUUGUUUCUGAUCUACACUCAGGGGCCUGUAGAUGUUGCUUCCCAGGCAGGAAACAAAAAGCUUUUUGUUUUGUGGGGUUCAUGGGGGCUAAGGCAGGAGUUAGAGGUUAUUGGGGUUGGGAUGGAAGGGUACCCUGCACAAAACCUUGGCUUUGCUAUGUGCUGCUCUGUGCGGGGUUGAAUAAUUUGGGGGUGGUUUGCAAUGGAAUUUUGGGACCCAAAGAGUAUCCACUUGGGGAUAUUUGUUUUUGGCCAAACCCUUCUUUUUGGAACCACACGAAACUCCUGAUGCUGCCGCCAUUACCCCUUCGAAAGUUGACUCAAAAGCUACGGGGAACUCCAGGUUCUUUAUUACUGCCUUCUUUUGCAAAGCACAACACUCCUCCCUGACUCUCCUGCUCUUGUCCCCUUCUGGUUGGGUCAUGGAGCUGCCCAACUUUCCAGAACAAGAGCUCUCACUCACUGUGCAAUAUGGCCUCCUGGAUCCCAGGAGAGUCUGAAGGAGAACUGCUUCCCGGAACCUCCUGGUGCCCUGGAGGACUUAGGAAACUCUCCCUCCUCCCUCCAUGCUCGGGACUCUGGCUGGCUGGUCAGCCUUGCAGGAGUUCCUUGGCUGAAUGGGAGAAUGCCCCAAGUCCUGCAACUACUUGGUAUUCUUGUAGGGCUGACACUAAAAGCCACAAUCCUGGGCAUUGCUUUUUUUUUUUUUUCUUUUUUAUGGUUUUUUUUUCUCCCCCUUCCGUGGUGCUCAGAGCACCCGUGGGGAAGUUGCUGUCUCAGUACAAUCCAAGUUUGUCUCUAGACUUGUGCAAUAUUUACUGUUCUGGGUUGGAGCCCAUGGAAGUCCAUACUGGGAAGAAACCCUUCCUUCGGUUUUUCAGUGACAUUAGCAAGGAGUCCCUCAGAAGGUCUUGAGUUUUCCAACCCCGAAUCACUUUAGAAGGGGGUAGCUAGAGCAUCUGGUGGACCUGGCACCCCUCCUACGACAGCCUACCUGGCUGUUGCCCCUUAGUGAGGAACUUUUCUCCCUAACCAUCCCCCACCCCAGGGGUCCCUGCUCCACAGCCAGUCCCCUUCCCUGGAUUCCUGAACUAGUCAGUUCUGACACAAAGGUGCUAUUUACCAAACACUCUCCCCCACACACCCCAUUCCUGCCAGGUCUGCCCCCUUUUCAACUCUAGACUCCAAGCUGCCUUCCCAGACCCUGCUUCCAGCCUUUCUUGCUUUAAAGAUAACUUCAGGCCCGCAGACCCAAGAGCACCUUUUCUGGCCUGUGGGUGGAAAUGAAGCUGUGAAUCCCCACAGACUGUGGUGUUGCCUCUUGUCUACAAACAGGCCCCUGCCUUUUUAAAAGCAGCCUCACGGUCUCGUGCUUCAUCUUCUCUCGUUUUUUGUUUUUUUCUUUUUUGAUGUUCACUUUAAAAACAGCAAAACACCCAGAGCUGGACUGUUGAGCAGGCCUGUCUCUCCUAUGAAGUAAAAAUAAUAGUCGUACAUUUGUAAGCUAUAUUCUGACAGAAAAGUCAAAGGUUACUAAUUGUAUAAUAGUGUUUUUAUAUGGAAGAAUGUACAGCUUUAUGGACAAAUGUACGCUUUUUUUGUUGUUGUUGAUACUUUAAUAAAAAUGUAGCAGUUGAAGCCGUGUGGUUUAGAGAAGGUCGCAUUCCCACAUCACUGAGCCUUUCCCUUGGAAUCAAAUCCUUUCUUGGUGUCUCAGUGUUUCCCUUCAGUGACCCCCGAAGGCCUAUAGCAUGUGGCUUGUAUAAAAGAAAAAUCUAGUUGUGUGACUCCUUCCUCCGUCCUUUAAUGCAUGUUCUCACUUCCCUGUGACCCUACUGGACGGGCCGGGGUUCUAGACUGAGCACUCCGGAGUCUGGCCAGGUCUCCUGCAUCUGUUCUUGCUGGGCCUCGGCUGUGCUCACACAUUUCCUCAUUCAGCAUGUGUGACCUGUCCGUCCACAGGAGGCACAGAAAAUAAUACACUUGAUUGGGACUUAUAGCCCGAGUCUCAGACUGAGAUGGUGAGCUGGGGACCCCGAACCCGUUCCCAGGCUGGGGCAGAAUUGUCAGAAAGUUCCAGGUCCAGGCUCUCUUGUCAUCUCUGGGAUGGCCAUUUGGUACCUCCGUUCCUAUUAGACAAAAACAGCUGGGCCGCAGUAUCUGGGCCUUGCAUACCAAGGCUAUACCAGUCGCUAAAGAGCAGCUACUCCCGACAGCAAAGGUUUGUUACCAAUUUAUUACUCCCCCUGGCCAUGUGGAUCAGACAUAUGCAAGGAAAUAAGAGCAGCCUUCAUCAUCCCAGGCUCCUGUGUUCUGUCCAUGAGGCUUGACACAGGCUUCAGCACCCCCCACCCCACUUAGGAGCUCAGCAUUUCCCACGGAGAUCACCAGGACAUCAUGGACCUGGGCUAGUUUUGUUUUUGUUUUUGUUUUUUCCUAGCCAGCAGUGGGCUGUAUUUAAAUUAAAUUUUAAACAUAUUGAUUCAUGAACAGAACCAUUCCCCCCCUCCAUCAACACAAGCUUCAUUUCACACCUCCAUGAUCCUUGUCAAUGAACUUGUGGUUGACCGAGGUGUCCUAGAUGGCCGAGGGACCGGAGAGGCUGUGUAUGGUACAGUGGGUGGGUAGAGGAGGCGGGAGAUGGGGCUGGGGGAAGCCGGCUCAUCUGUCUCACAGAUAGACUUGAUUAUAGGACCCACUUGUGUCAAGACGUUAUUUGAAGGAAUGGUCGCAUUUUCAUCGGUGGCUUUGAACACAAAUGUCCUAGGCACUCGUUUGUAAGGACCCACCUUGAGGGAUGUAAGGAAGGGGUUAGGGAUGCAUUUUUGUCCAUCCUGGUGUUUUAUUCUUGUCAGCACCUAUCUUCUUGUCUCCUAACAGGCUCCACUCAUGAAGGAGAUUUCAUUGCGUUCCUACUCUCUAGCAGAAAGCCUGAAAGGGAGGGCUAUCUGGAGGCCAAAGGGACAUAUCAUUACCCACCAGUCUCCAAGCUAGGGUGACUGCAGAACAGCAGACUGAUCUGGGGGUUGUUCGCGGCUCCUGGUAGCCUGACAGUCCCUCAGUGGACAUGGGAGUGUUCUGUGACCAAGCACGGUCUUUUCUACUGUAGAUCUGGCUCAUUUCAGCAGGGGUGGGGAGUACCCCUUGGCCAUCUGGGGGUCCAGAGGCUGUGGACCUGAAUGAACAGUUCGAGGAGUUGUAGCUGAUGGGUCUCAUGUGUUCAGGGACUGGGCGUUGCUUGGUCCACUCUGCUCCCCGUUUCCCCACUUGGUACACCUCGCCCUCCUGGGAGACCUGUGCUCGGUCAGCUGUUUCUGGAUGAUAUCACACUGUCCAGAGAGUGUGGAUGGGGCCUGGGAGCUGCGGAUUAAGAGCCCAUCCCAGAUUCUGAUAAGGACAUGUGGGUGGGGGAGGCCUUGAUGCUUCAACAAGCAAGCCCAGGGGGAAGAAAGCCUCCCCUGGGAGUCUGACAUCGCCUCUGGAACAGCCUCUCGUAAGCCAAGGCACUGAGGGCCUCCUGGCUUCCAGGGCCACACUGGCCCGGAGGCCCAGUGAAGCAUGAUCCCACGGAAGGAGUUCUGCACCAGGAGGGAGAAUAGAUGGGUUGUCGCUCAGGUUCUUCCUAAUGAGCUGUGUGAACUUGGACAAGCCCCUCAAUUUUCCUCUCAGAAAUUAGGGAGUUGGAUUAGAUGACCUCUGUUUCUCUCUUUGGCUUUUGAUUCUAAGUCAUCUCCAUUAUCCUAGCAAUCAUGGAGGGCAAAUGAGCCCAAUUAUGAUCAUUAUUUUCAAUUAGAUGAACUGGAAGGUCACUUGGGUUGGGAUGUGGAGAAAUAUACCUCCCCUUGCUUGACUCUGACUCUGGCCUAUGAUAAGCUUUCGAUGUCAAGCACAGCGAGACAGUGCUGCAGAGGUCAGCAGCUCAGGCAGUGGGGUAAUGUUGUCAGGGGUCUGAUCUCACCUCUACUGCCCAGCUCCUGGCUCUGCCACCUGGAGCAAGUUACUUUACCCGGCCUCCAUUUCCCCAUUUGUAAAAUGAGAGUAAGGAUAGAACCAUCUCAAAAUGUUGAGAAGUAUUAAAUGAGGUCUAAACCACUUAGAAUAGCUCUUGGCAUAUUUAAGUACUCUACAGGAGAACUGUAGUUUUAAGUAGAAGUUAAUCUGAAUUGGGAGAUGACUAAGGACGCUCUGACAUUCUGGUAACCAGGAGGAAACCAUGUAUUUAAGGAGUAUUUCUAUUAGAGUCUCCCUGGAGGGCGGCAGUUAACAACAUCGGAGCAGCCUUUGGCCUCCCCCACUGAAAGAUGAUUUUCAGUCCUUUGCUGAAAAGUCUUCACAGCCCAGGGGCAUCUGUCUGGCUCAGUCAGUAGAGCAUGUGGCUUUUCAUCUCCAAGUUGUGAGUUCAAGUUCCACCCUGGGUGUGGAGCCUACUUAAAAUAAAAAAAAAACAAACAAACAGCAAGUCUUCAGAGUCCAAGAGCCCUUCCUGAUGUCAUGGAACCCAGAGGACGUACUCCCAAAGUCUAUGCAGAACAAAUGAAUGCACUCAUGCCUGAUCUCUGCCAUUUUUGCCCAAAUGUACCAUGUCCUCCCCGCCAGACAUUUACCUUAUUAGGAGGAGGGGAGCUCUGACCUCUUGGCUCCAUGAGCUGCUUGUGAAUUAAUACCAAACUGGACUCUGUGCUCAUUCACACACACAGUGGGUGGGGAGAUAGAUUUUCCAAUAACAACUUUGCUUAUCUCCAUCCUGCCCACGGGUGGAAUCACACCCACGCAUUCCUUCUGGGAAGAGAGAGAAAUGGGGAAGCUGAGAAGGGCAAGGCUGGUGAGUUCUGGAGAGUUCUGUACCCUCUGUACCACUUUUUUUGCAGAGCUGGCAUGAAAAACAUCUGAACUCAGUCUAAGCGGCUCUCAGGGCCCCGGAUAAUGAUCUUACACAAACAAGCGUGCUGAGAUGGGUGGUCUGUCCUUUUUGCAGCUUUGACAGGGGUCUGCUGCUCUGGACCCCCACAGCCCCAAGUCAUUUUGCUCCCAGUUGAAGUGGCUCUCCCACUCUCCAUCCCUGUUCCCAUAAACGAGGGCAGGCCUUUAUUCAAUCCUUGUCCAGCAAGCCUGUUGGGCUGCCCAGAGCACAUCAGAUAAGGUGAUGUUAUAGCUGGGCAGGUCAGAGCGAGGGCUACUUUCUAUACCCACACCAGCAGGAAGGGGCUGUUUAAACUUCGGUGGGCACCAGAGGAGCGAAGGUACGGCCAGGUCAGCAGUGAAGAAGGGCAGCCGGACAGAGACUGCCGUGAACACAGAGAGUGAGCUCAGGCUUUGUCUGAAAAGGACCCUGCCCUUUGGCUGUAGUCUGCUGUGCUCCUGGGAGACCAAUGAUACCAGACACUGUGAUUUUUCAAGAGAAAUCUGAAAUAGAGACUUUUAUUUCACAUCUACCUAAGGCCUAACGAUGACAACUGAUUUUUUUUUUUAAGUGGUAAACUGCUUUUAAGUACUUAUUUGCCUAGGUUUCCCGUUUGUGACUUGUGAUGUGUUAGACCACCGGGGUGGGGGGCGGGGGGAGGUAGGGCUUUCUGACCCCAGCCCCCAUACUAGGAUGAGGCUGUGCAUUGAGGACAUCAAUGGCACGCCAUCACCAUGCCUGUGAUCUCUUGAAGGAACUUCCUAGCAUGUUCCGGAUAGGACCGAGGGCAUACAUGGGGCCUCUGCUUCCCCUCCAAGGAUUAGAUUAGAAGUAGUUCAGCCCACCUUCAACUGGUGCCCAUUAACUCAGGCCUCUCAGUCUUUGCUCAAGGAAUAUUCUGACUCCUCCUAUCUACCUACUUUGGUUAACUCUCAUCUCUCAAGCUUUAGAUCUUCUCUUCCAGCUUUUCAAAGACAUUGUUCCUUCCCAUGCUACCCAGUUUUUUCCUCUGUCCUAGUCCUUCUAACCCUGAAUUUACUGCUAGAAUGCAGGCCAGAGACCUUCCCUAAGCAUUGUCUGGUGCUUAGUAAGUAUUAGUGAAUUUUGGUUGAACAGGUGAAUGUUAAAGUUGCCAAGAGUGGAGGCUAAUUGAUGAAAGGAAUUUGGAAGGAGUGGAAGAAAAAAAAUCAAGUCUGUUUAAGGUGUGCCAGCCAAGGGUCCCAGCUCAGAAUGGCUAACCUGUGAUCUCACCUUCUUAAGAAAACAAUCCUUUGAAUCUUGCAGGCUCUUAGGUCUCUAAGCGCCUGCUAUUGAAAUGUAAAUGUUACUUAGAGAGGGGUGGACACACUUUAAAUCAUAAUGUAGGGGAACCUCAGUUAUCAAUUAACUCCCUAAAGUGGGUUUACCCAGAAGGUAAGGUCACCUGGACAGAAGGCUGGGUUAUGACGUGUGGGGAAGGAAUUCUGACCACAGUAGCAGGAUAGGGAGAACUCACUUCAGAGAACUCACUUUGGAGGCCAGCUGCUGGGUGGUAGAAACACCCCCAGUCUUAAGAGUUGGGAAAUAGGGGCCCUAGCUUUAGGUCUGACAAAAACUAGUAUUGGAUUAGUCUUUGACAUUUUAGACUAAUCUCUUCCCUCUUCUGAGCCUCCGUUUUCUCAUCUGUAAAAUGAGUCACUGGUGCUGAAUCACCUCUCACCAUCCCAUUUCCAUUUUCAAACAGAGCAGGAAAAUCUCGGAUUCCUCUGUGCUGUGUACUCCCAGGUCCUACCAUGUCACACUUAAGGUAACACAACAGCCUUCCACACACCUCCCUACGGGGCCCAGCCAGCAGCCCAGGGCCACCGAAAACUUCAUUUUCCUCAAGCCAUUCCCUUUCUGCUGCCUUCCUUUGCCGUUUUGAGUUCCAAAAUGGGGAUACAAGGCUCUCCCAAUCUUUCCAACUCCAGACACCCUGGGAAGUGGCCUCACAAUGCCAGGACCCCCUACCUUCUCAAUUCUCUGCUUCUCACCUUUCCUCAAGCCAUGGCCACAUCUCCAAGUCUCUCUACCCUGCCAGUUACAGCGGCCGCAAACCACUUGUGUAAGUACUCUGACAUACUUUCCUCUAGGACAGGAGCCGGUGCUGGGCACUGAACACUGGCUGUUCCCACGCACUCUGCCGGGGGCCGUAUACACAAAGCCUCUCCCUUGUGGCCCCCACAAGCACCCUGGGAGAUGCUUCAGGCUCAGGCUCACAGACAAAGGAGGCAAAGCACCAGUAAGGACAGGGGGCAGUGGUGGAAACAGAUUUAUCUGGAUGUGUCUGUCUCCAGAGUCCAUGCUUUUCCCCCCUUCACCUGCCACCUCUCUGAGAUGUCUUCCCUGAAUAACUCCACUGAGCUCUUGAAAAACAGUCUCACCUGGAGGCUUUUCAACACUGAUACCUAUGGUUUUAAGUGCUUACACUUUCACAAUAAAUUCCUUAUUCCAGGACCUCUUAAUGAUGUACACACAUCGCUUAUUACUGUUUACAUCCGGAUAACAAACACAGUCAGCACAUCUCUACGCACCGCUUGGGGUUGAUGUCUGGAGGCUUUGCAAGCUCAUGGCCCCUCUCCGACUGUCAGCACACACGCCCCCCCUGGGAAGGACACUUGCCUUCUAUUUCUCUUCACACCCCUGUGUGGGGCCCAGGCCUCAGUGUGUGCAGUCUGAGGGCGCUGGCCCUUGAGUGAAAGGCUGUGGUUGAGUAAACUGUGUCUGACCCUCAGGUGGCUGUGGGUCCCGCGCCUUCUCCCUGCCCCCUUCCACUCUUCCCACUCCGGAGGCAGGAAGGAAGGUGCCCACUCUGGGAGUUUCCUAAGAGGGGGUGAGGGAGCCCCCCGUGGGCUGGGGCCCCUGCGGACCCACGUGGCUCCCAGCUCAUGGUCUGCACUCCAGCCAGCGUGUUCUUGGGCCCAUGCUGGUGGUAGGGCUUGCCUGGCUCUCCGGAAUCCAGUCUGUUCCACCCAGAGCCACAACCACUUGAAGUCGAGAGCAGUGAGUUGGCAGAGACCGAGGCAGAUCUAGAUAAGGCUGGAAAUACAUGGAGACUUUUCUUUGGAAUAGGCUUUUACAGGACGUGGGCGGCUACCUUGGUUAAGGGUUCUAUCUUCCCACCGGGAUGGACUCCGUUUGAAAGGGAGGAGACCGCGGGAGGUGGGGGUGGGGUGGGGUGGAGAGGGGCGGAGGCAAAGCCUUCUGAGCCUUCUCUUCUUUAUGGGUGUUCUUGCCCUGGUUCUAGGAAAGCUGGCUCUGGAGGGGACGAUCCCUUUACGGGGAUUGGUGGGGGAGGGGAGGGCGGACGGCGCGGCAGUGACCUUGCAUUUGAGCAACUCAGAGGCUCUUUCUCAGCAGCCAGUGGGGGCCAGAAGUGCAACUAAGCACCUGAGCACCCCCACCCCCAGCUCCUCACAGGCCCAACUCCUCUGGCAAACUCUUUCUUCUUUCGGGUGGAGGUCCCCCUGCCAGCUGCCCUCUCCUCCAGGUGUUUCCUGUGGGCCCUUUGUUUGCCGGCUGGGUGGCUGAGGGCGGGGGCGGGGGGGGGGAAGGGGGCGUCUCUUUGGGCCUCCUGUUAGCCAAUGGCCGCCUGCGGAGGGGAAGCCGGGGCUCCUGUAUCUGGGGAGAACCGACCACAAGCAGCAGCUGCCUCCCAACACCUGCCCUGCUGCGAGUCUGUAAACAGUGCCGGGCCCAGGAGGCUUCCUCCGCAGAGCAGGGCGGAGGGGGCGGGGCGGGGCGCGGCGGGGUGUGUGUGUGUGUGCGCGCGCGUGUGCGUGUGCAGACCAAAGGGGGUCAUUUCCCAAAUGGAUUGUCCAGAAGCUUCCCACCCCAGUUCUCCUUUCCCCAGAGGAGUCAAGGCCUAAAGUGUGGGUCAUCCCAGGAACCUUAGGGCAAAGGACUCUAAUCCCUACUGGAUAAGCCCAGGCAGUACUGGGUCACCCUCCGCUGUCCACCUGCCACGAAGUGGAUGGCAUUGUUUCUCGAGGGGAAAGCCAAGAGCAGCCAGAAACCCAGGCACUGAUAUUAUUACUGUUUAACUAGAGAAGAGGAGACCGAGGCUCUGGAAGGUGAAGCCCAGGAUCUACAGGUGUACCGCUACUGAGUGGUGGAGCCAAGUUCAAAUCCAGAAUGAGAAAUGAGAAACAAGAAGAAAAAUGAAGCCACAACUGGACCCAUGGCUUCUUCUAAUUCUUCCUGCCCUUCCUCAGUGCUCUGGUCUGCUGGACUCCAGGAACUUCUACACAAGGCCACAGUUCACAUUACAGAAAGUCAAAAAAGAUCAGAAAAAUCUGAGAUCUCAAUCUUCCACAUCUUUAAGUGCAAGCUCGGGUUGUCUCUCCUCUAUGAAAUCCUUGCCAUUUGUCCUGAAGUAACUUUACAAAAACCUUCUGAACUCUCAAAGGAAGGAGUUGCUGCUCCCUCCCUCCCCAACUCCCAGAUGGGGUUUUGUGUCCAUAUGUCUUCCAUGAAUUUUCUUUUUUGUUUAUGUAUCAUA